UACGUAGGGUCCGAGCGUUGUCCGGAAUUAUUGGGCGUAAAGGGCUCGUAGGCGGUUUGUCGCGUCGGGAGUGAAAACCAUGAGCUUAACUCAUGGCUUGCUUCCGAUACGGGCAGACUAGAGGUAUGCAGGGGAGAAUGGAAUUCCUGGUGUAGCGGUGAAAUGCGCAGAUAUCAGGAGGAACACCGGUGGCGAAGGCGGUUCUCUGGGCAUUACCUGACGCUGAGGAGCGAAAGUGUGGGGAGCGAACAGG
rnacentral:rRNA from 2 species